AAGCCUUGUUUGCGUUCCAUGGCUUCUCAUGAGCUUUGGACCUUCCCUCAAGGCAAGAUUU
rnacentral:sRNA from 1 species